rnacentral:tRNA from 1 species
GGUCACGUAGUUCAGUUGGUUAGAACGCCACCCUGUCACGGUGGAGGUCGAGGGUUCGAGUCCCUUCGUGAUCG